rnacentral:rRNA from 1 species
GACGAACCGUGCGAACGUUAUUCGGAAUCACUGGGCUUAAAGGGCGCGUAGGCGGGUCUGAAAGUCAGGGGUGAAAGCCCCCAGCUCAACUGGGGAAGUGCCUCUGAUACUUCAGGUCUCGAGGGAGGUAGGGGCGUGCGGAACUUCCGGUGGAGCGGUGAAAUGCGUAGAUAUCGGAAGGAACGUCGGUGGCGAAAGCGGCGCGCUGGACCUCUUCUGACGCUGAGGCGCGAAAGCCAGGGGAGCGAACGGG